AUGAACGCUGGCGGCGUGCUUAACACAUGCAAGUCGAACGGUGAAGGCGGAGCUUGCUCUGCUGGAUCAGUGGCGAACGGGUGAGUAACACGUGAGCAAUCUGCCCCUGACUCUGGGAUAAGCGCUGGAAACGGCGUCUAAUACUGGAUACGAGCUGCGAAGGCAUCUUUAGCAGCUGGAAAGAAUUUCGGUCAGGGAUGAGCUCGCGGCCUAUCAGCUUGUUGGUGAGGUAAUGGCUCACCAAGGCGUCGACGGGUAGCCGGCCUGAGAGGGUGACCGGCCACACUGGGACUGAGACACGGCCCAGACUCCUACGGGAGGCAGCAGUGGGGAAUAUUGCACAAUGGGCGAAAGCCUGAUGCAGCAACGCCGCGUGAGGGACGACGGCCUUCGGGUUGUAAACCUCUUUUAGCAGGGAAGAAGCGAAAGUGACGGUACCUGCAGAAAAAGCGCCGGCUAACUACGUG
rnacentral:rRNA from 1 species